CCUACGGGAGGCAGCAGUGAGGAAUAUUGGUCAAUGGGCGCGAGCCUGAACCAGCCAAGUAGCGUGCAGGAUGACUGCCCUAUGGGUUGUAAACUUCUUUUAUACAAGAGUAAACUGAGACACGCGUGACUUUCUGAAUGUACUUUAUGAAUAAGGAUCGGCUAACUCCGUGCCAGCAGCCGCGGUAAUACGGAGGAUUCAAGCGUUAUCCGGAUUUAUUGGGUUUAAAGGGUGCGUAGGUGGGUUGGUAAGUCAGAGGUGAAAGCUUGAGGCUCAACCGUAAAAUUGCAACUGAUACUGGCAGGCGUGAGUGCAGUUGAGGUAGGCGGAAUGCGUGGUGUAGCGGUGAAAUGCUUAGAUAUCACGAAGAACACCGAUUGCGAAGGCAGCUUACUAAGCUGCCACUGACAUUGAGGCUCGAAAGUGUGGGUAUCAAACAGGAUUAGAUACCCCAGUAGUC
rnacentral:rRNA from 1 species